GAAACAAAAACCAACUGCACAUUUUAUGGACGAAUCAAACUCAUUUGCUUGUGGAAGUCAGAUGGACCUUGGGUGAGGUUAAGAGCAGUCCAGUCUAAUCCUCAUCAGCCUCAGCUAAAGCCAAAAUAAAUCACAAAAUAAAACGCUUAAAGCCAUUAAACCUUUUCAAAUAAGAACCCACACACACACUUACAAACACCAAGUCAUUCAAUUGCAUUCAUAAUACGCACACAACCACAUAGAGCAUGAGCCUUUGGAAACGCAUUUCCAGCCAUGCGGACUGUGAGCAACGCAUGGCGGCUUAUUACGAUGAGAAGGGUCUGUUUGACCUUCGACUCUGCUUGGCGCCCUGGAUCGAAGAUCGCAUAAUGUCCGAGCAAAUCACACCAAAUUCAACGGAACAACUUGAACGCAUUGCGCUCAAAUUCAACGAGGAUCUGCAACAAAAACUUUUGUCAACACGCACAGCCACCGAUCAGAACUUAAAGUAUCGUGUGGUCGAGCUUUGUGCCCUCAUUCAGCGUACCCCAGCCCUUGAGCUGUAUACACAUCUGCGUAGCGGAUUGCAAAAGGAACUGCAAUUCGUGACCGAACAAAGCGUGGCGGCCACUGGGGGUCAAUCGAUGCCGCUGAAUCCCUACAAUAUGAAUAAUCCAGCGGCUAUGGCUGCUGCUGCUGGCUUUAUCAACGAUGGCAGUCAACUAAUGGACAGCAGUAGCAAUGGCGGCGGAGGUUUUGUCGCUGGUGGUGUCCCAGUUGUCGGUCCCGGUGCAGCCACUCCAUCAAUGGGCGGCGGCGGUGGUGGUGGUGUUGUUAUGGGCCAUAAUGCUACUCCCGCCCCGGCUGUGGGCAUGGGUGUCGUUAAAAUGGAACUCUAUGAUUUACAUCAACAGAUCAUGCAGGCAUAUAACGACUUCUCUAGCAUUGGCAAUCCCCUGAAAAUGAUGGUACACACCUAUGAGUGCAUGAUCCAGGUGACAGGUGCACAGAAAGCCGAUCUAAUGCGUAGUGUGAUUGAGCAGAAGGCAAAUAUUGUUUGCCAUUUGCGUCGCAGUUUUAUGUAUUACGAGGCUCUGCAGGAAAUGGCCGUAACAGAGUUAAAAAAUUGGCGUCGCCAGCAAGCUCAGGCCGGCAAUGGGGCAUCCUUCAAUGAGAAUAUGCUUGACGAAAUUCAGCGUUGUUUCGGUAUCUUGGAAUCGUUUGUGUGCCUGCUAUUGGAGGCAGUCAAGCAGGUCCGAAUGAUGGAAGAAGAUCAAGAGCUAAAAAUUUUCAUGGAGACAAUACAGGUGGCUCAAAAGAAUUUGGUCUGUUCGGCUUUUAUUGUUGAUAAGCAGCCGCCACAGGUGAUGAAGACGAAUACACGUUUUGCAUCUUCGGUACGUUGGCUAAUUGGCUCCCAGCUGGGCAUACACAAUAAUCCACCAACGGUUGAGUGCAUCAUCAUGUCAGAGCAACAAGCCCAACGUUUUGUCACUCGUGGAUCACAUAUGGAUGUGAUUAACAAUAGCAUGUCGAAUCAAUCGUCUGGCGAAAUACAAAACUGCUCCAGUACCAUGGAAUAUCAGCAGAAUCAAAUAUUCUCCGCCAGUUUUAGAAAUAUGCAGCUUAAGAAAAUCAAACGGGCCGAAAAAAAGGGCACCGAAAGUGUGAUGGAUGAAAAGUUUGCACUCUUUUUCUAUGCUACAACCACAGUUGAUAGCUAUCAGAUACGCGUGUGGACUCUAUCGCUGCCCGUGGUUGUUAUCGUGCAUGGAAAUCAGGAGCCACAAUCCUGGGCCACCAUCACCUGGGAUAAUGCAUUCGCAGAUAUUGUACGUGAUCCGUUUGUGGUCACCGAUCGUGUGACAUGGUGUCAGCUCUCUAUAGCCCUCAAUAUUAAAUUUGGUUCCUCCACACAACGACCGCUGACAUCCGAGAAUUUGGAAUUUCUUUUUGAAAAACUUCAGCGCGAUAAUAUUAGCGGAGAACGAAAUGAUUGCAUUUCGUGGAAUCACUUUUGUAAAGAGCCUCUGCCAGAUCGUGCAUUCACUUUUUGGGAAUGGUUCUAUGCCAUUAUGAAACUCACCAAAGACCAUUUGCUGGGCAUGUGGAAGGCGGGUCGCAUUACCGGUUUUAUUAGCAAGGCUAAAGCACAGGAUGAUCUAAUGCGUGCCACAACAGGAAUAGGCACAUUUUUGGUUCGCUUCUCCGACAGUGAAUUGGGUGCCGUAUCUAUUGCCUAUGUUAAUGAAUAUGGUGUGGUUGUCAUGCUAAAGCCAUGGACAUCCAAAGAUUUCCAUAUUAUUAAUUUGGCCGAUCGUAUACGAGACUUGGACCUGCGUUACCUGCAUCCGACAGACAUCAAUGUGUUGCCCCUAGAGCGUGAUAUCGCAUUUGGUGAAUUCUAUACACCGCGAGUUGAACCAGCACCGAGACCCGAUGGCUAUGUGCCCAGCACGAUACGCGUUCAGGUGCGUGCCGCUGGUGGAGAGAAUGGUUCGAUUGCCGGAACACCUCAUCAUCCAAUGCAAUCACCGCCGCAGAACGACAUGACUGGGAUGGGAAAUGGUAAUAAUGAUUUUGCCAUGGCGGACUUUGAUGCGAUGCAGAACUUUGACUAUACUAUAUAAACUAUGAAGCAUAUAUAUUAUAUAUAUCCAAUAUAUGAAUAGAUAUAUAUGUAUAAUCUAUAUAUAUAUACAAAGAAUUUUAUGUAUAAACAACUACGAUAUAAACAAUUAAUGGAGUGCCGCUACCAUGGAUGUUAGAGCAACGAGACUUUUUGUGGAUCAUCAUUUUAAAAUUAAUCCCGAAAAUGUUUUUAUUCAAUGUUUUUUUAAGAAUGUUUUGGAUAUAUACAUCAUGAUGUUGUGGCAUGUUUUCUUUGCAUUUGUGAAACGCCAUACAAAAACAACAACUACAACUUAAGCAAUGCAUGCAAUUAAUUGUUUGACUUGAAAACAACAACAACAACACACACACACACACACACAAAACACACACCUAACUAGCCACAUCAUAUCCGCACUCCAAACCCCCCUCAGCACAUGCCCUCUGAACUAUUAGAACUAUUUUAGAAUGUAUGUCUGAACUGUGCAUUAAAAUAUUUUCAUAUUUCU
rnacentral:misc_RNA from 1 species